UACAGAGGGUGCAAGCGUUAAUCGGAAUUACUGGGCGUAAAGGGUGCGUAGGUGGUUAGAUAAGUUAGAUGUGAAAGUCCCGGGCUUAACCUGGGGAUUGCGUUUAAUACUGUUUAGCUAGAGUACUGUAGAGGGAAGUGGAAUUUCCGGUGUAGCGGUGAAAUGCGUAGAUAUCGGGAGGAACACCAGUGGCGAAGGCGAUCAUCUGGGGGUUGUUCUGACACUGAGGAGCGAAAGCUAGGGAGCGAAACAGGGAGGU
rnacentral:rRNA from 1 species